CUCUCAUCCGGUCUGACUCACUUCUGAAAAAUGAAUGUAUAAAACACAUCUUUCAUGUGUGUGUUUCUUGGUUGUUGUCCAAAAGUUGUGUUACGUAUCGUGCUAAAUGAUUAUUUCUGGUCAAAAGUGAAUGGAUUUAGAUGGAAAUAAACAACAGAUUAUGUGUGAAAAUGAAGUCAUUCCAGUUUAUGGGCAACAGUUGACCUACUUUAUGCAUUUGUCAGCCCAUCUCAUUCGUGAUUAAAAAAGAGAGAUUGUUUGAAGACACUGACCACAGAGCACAUCACGAGUGAGUCAGUUGCAAAACCAAAGAGUGAUUUAAAAACUUGACAAGGGAAACAGUCGACUGCAAAACACACAAAAACAUACAGAUGGGUAACACAAGACAAAAGUAAGAAAUUAUUUUAUUUGAGCGCUUGUCAAAAGUGAGCAAACAGAAAUGUACACAUU